UCCCCACCAAACAGAGAGCCCGACGUGGGGCUCGAUCCCAGGACCCUGAGACCAUGACCCAAGCCAAAGGCAGAAGUUUAACCCACUGAGCCACUCAGGCGUCCCCCGCCCUCCUCCCAGCACAACCUUCUGAGGCCUUUGGCCAUCCUGCUGUCACUCCCGUCCCACCCCAGGCAGUUUUCUGUGCUGUCUGGGGGCCUACUUUCUUCUGUACUUGGGACCUGGGCCAGGCAGGCGGGAACAGCCUGGGGGGCUGGACUCAGGUCAGGAAAACAACAGUCGAGUUCCCUGUGCUGAGCCAGGCCUCCUUGCCCGCCUUGGGCUAAGCCUGGUGCCUGGUGACCCCACCCAGGCCCAGGGAACCACAGCCUCGGAGGAAGGAUGACAGAUUCCCCGGGGACGGAGCUGGGCUCGAACCCGAGGCUGGGAGUCGCAGGCCCCUGCGUAGGAAGAGCAGACGGAGCCACAAGGGCGGAGGGUCACGGGCUGGGGCGUGGGCGUGAGCCGCGCUCUUCUCCCUGCUCGGCGCCCAGGACCCUGUCUGGGCUGCAGAGGUGACACGUGUGGCUCGCUGGGCCCCUGGGGUUUUGGACAUGUGGACAGAAGAAGACUGGGGUGCGAACAGUGCCAGAGCCCCGGCCCCUGAGGUGUGCCUGUCAUGCCCUGCACCCCCUGUGAGGACGUGAGGCCGGCGGGGGGUGCUCGGCAGCCACACGGGGGAACCUCAGCUCUUCCUCCUUCUAACGAGCACCCCCGGGGCCCCUGGUGCUCCCUGCAGAGUCCCGGUGUUGGCACAAGACACCCAGCCCAGGGGGUCAACCCCAUGGUCUGCCUUAUGCACACAGACGGCGCGCGCACACACACGCACACACACACCCUACAUACCACACACAGCACACUGACACACACCACACACUGACACACACAUCAUUGACACACACAUCACACUCAGACACACACACCAAACACCGACGGACACACCACACACUGGCCUGGCCCGCAGACGCACACGGACGGAGCUCUGACGGCCCACGUCCGUCACGCAGACUCAGAGCGGCCCAGUCCCCCGGCGGGAGCCCUGGGGCUCCACAGGCCUUCCCCUGUCCCAGAGGUUCCUCAGCCUUCACUUGGCAGAACCUGGAGCUCAGGGAGGACAGGGUGUCCUCAGCCGAAUGCUUAACGGGAGAAAUUCGAGGGGAAGUGGGUGCUUCUAGGAAGGACGUCUGGCGGCAUGGGGAUGGGGUGGUUACAGGCUUAGGGCAUACUUUGGGGGUGGGCAGCUGGGUGCUGAGGCCUGGGACGAGGGAUGAAGGAUCCCCUGCAUCCUUCAGGGUGGGGGCUGUCACCUCCUUGGGACUGCCUUGAGGGACCUCUUGCCUCCUCCAGGGCUAAAUAACUCUCUCCACUCCGCUAGGGGGCAGGUGGGCACAAAAAAGUCCCUGUCUUUGACUCCCCACGUACUUUGUCAUAGCUGAUCUGAGGUGGUCUCCCGAGCCACCGCCCUGCUGACCCGGCUUGGAACACAGGAGUCCCCUGUGGGAGGAGUCCCCACAUCUUGGGCACAGAACGAGGGGCCUGGGCAAAGACCCACCAUCUGCUUCCAGGACAGGAAGAGGGCCCUUCCCAGACCCCAUGGCCAGGCCAGCCUGAGCUGGUGGAGACAGAGGUCCCUCUUGGAGAGCAGGGCCCCAGAGACCUCUGGCCCACUCCCUCUGCCAGACAUUCCACCACCGGAGCCAGAUUCUUCUGUUGCAAAUUACCCAAGGCUCCUUUACAACGUGAAUGCCUCCAGGGCCAUAUGUGAAUGAGGUGAAGGGCCGGGGGUGCUAAAGGUAGGUGGGGCCUGGUGUGGGCUGAGUCCCAGGAGGAGCUGGGUUUCAUCAGUCCGCAGGGGUCUUCCCAGAGGUCAGGCGUGGCGGGCCGUGGGAUUCUGCAGCAUCAAGCCUGCUAUCCCCUCCUUGCCUGGGGCCCAGACUUGCAAAAGGAGGAGCAGAUGCUGGGCUUCAGCUGAUGCAGUGUUUCUCGGGGCGCCCUCCCCGCCCUCCUGGCAGAGCAGGGGGCCAAUGAUGGCAGUGGUAGCAGCUCCUGGGUCUCUAGAGUAAGGAGCUGGACACACAAAGAUAGAAAGGUCUUCAGGGUUCCUGAGGGGAGCCCCCUGCCAGGUACAGGAUCUAGGAGUGGACACAGCCCCAUGGGGUGCUGAAGGCGAGGGGCCCCUUCUCUUAGGAAGCCCCCAUGCCUGGAUCUGAUAGGCCCCCGGUCCCCUUUCUGGUCAGCUGCAGACCCCGAGCUCUGGCCCUUAUGGAGGUCAGCCUGUCCACACAGCCGGGAUGGGAUGAAAACAGGAAGUGAUCUCCGGUGCCAGGCGGGUGCUGCUGGCCCUUCUUCCCGGGUGUGGGGGUGGCUGCUCCUGGAGGGCCUGAGUCACCCGCCAACGGCUGCUGGGAACCCUACGUUCCUAGCUGGACUACCCCCCCACCACCCCGCCAAAGCCCAUUCCAGCCCCAGGGGCCCUGUCAAUCUGCAGCUGCCUCCUGACCCUCCCCUCUUAUGGGGCACCCUUAGGAACUUAAUUCUGCUGAAGGCAUCUGCUCUUUGUUCCAAUUAAUCUCCCUAGGAUCCCUGCCAGGGAGGCCUAGGUUACAGAUGAGGAAGCCAAGGCCCAGAGCUCUGCUCAAGGUCCCACAGCCAAUCACUGGCAGUUUAAGGACUUGAACUUAGGACUGUUUUAGCCAAGGAACCAAUUGUAAGGAGGGUGAGGCCCAGUCCUGAGAGGUGAUAACUUGAGCCAAGACUCGAAUCUUGGAAGGAGCCAACCAAGUCCAUAUAAGGGGGAAGUGUGUACCAGGAGAGGGAAUAGCCAGUGCAAAAGCCCUGUGGCAGGAAUAGAUUUGGAGUGUCUCAAGAACAGACAGGAGCCAGGUAACAGUGGUUCCAAGAUAUAGGCCACACCAACUAGAUGACCUGAGUCAUCUGAGUCCCCAGAUCUAAGUGGAUUGGGUGUCAGUCCAUAGGCCUAUGUUGCCACUUCCAGCUACAGUCAGAAAAGGUGUGCUGGACCUUGCAGUGAAUGGACAGUUUCUGCAUCCAAGAAUUGGGCAACCCAGAGGACCCCUUGACCCCGUGUCUCAGGCACUGAGAUGGGAGCUUCUCAGAGCACUCCCUGGGCAGUGGCAGGCAUUCUGGUUCUCUGGCUCCACGGAAGCCUUCCUCGGACCAAAGGCAGCUGGAGUGUGGCUGAAGUGUGCACACUUCCUGCCUGUCCACCAGGGAAGGUGAGCCAGAGGAGUUUGUGUGGGGUGUACAGAUUUGGGGUUCUAAAAGGCUUGGAUUACGUCAUUUGAAUCCCACAUUUCUUCAUGGCUCUGGCUAGGGUUUUGAUUUCUCAAAGGGGAUGAGCCCUAUGUUUGCUAUGGGCAGAAGAACAGCCUGACACCCGGGACCCAAGGUGUUCCCCGCUGGGGGAGGACAGAGGAGCCCUAGGACCUGCCGUGGGCCGAGAGCACGUCUGUGGAGGGACUCACCCUGGCCCCACCAGACCCCAUCGGGAUACAAAGAAACCCUGGGUGUGGGGGCUACCCUGUCCCUUUUGCUCUGGUUGAACCCUGUGGACGGGAGCCUGGCUCUAUCAAGUCCCCAGGAUGCUUCUCCUCUCUUCCUGAGGGUCUCAGGGGACCGGGCUCCCUGGAAGCCCUGCCCCUCAGGUAGGAUCUAUGUCAGUGCCGGCUUCCCGGACUCGGCUUCCGUGGCCUUGGUCUCGGAGAACUAGUCCCAGGACCCAGGUCCACCAAGUGCAGCAGCAUCAAGCACCUCUUGGAUAGCAUCUGAAAGAAACGCGACAGCUCAGGGGAAGGAUCAGGCGAGCGCGCACAGAGCCGAUGCUGGCCGUUUUCCCAGCAGCCUCAGCGCCGAAGUGAACAUGAGUCAGGGUUUCUGUCCCAGCCCCACGAGGUUCCAGCUGGACACAGGCAGCCAACGAGGGUGAAGAGCCAGGCCUGGGAGAGGGACGGUGGUCUCUGCAGAGGACAGGCCCUCAGGCAGAGUGGCUGGUGAGGACGGGAGGCAGGAGGGCGGUGGGGCAGGGCCCCCAGGUGGAACGUGGAGGGGCCUCCCCUGGCUCCAGUUGAGGGCAGGUGGACGGGCGUCUGGUUGGAAAAGCCAGACGAGGUGGCCUGUACUUCUGGCAGCAGGAAUAGGGCUCGGAAGCUUCAAGACAGCUUUUCAUCCCCUGAACCUACCAACAGCUUUUCAUUUUCUAAGAUGCUUUUUACCGUCAUUACCCCCAAGCUGAGAAAAGUGGUGAGUCCCUCCUCAGGUUUCUGUUCAUCUCUGGGGGUCCCCUGAUUCAUGCUUGCUUGGUGAGAGGCUGCUUAUCUGCUCUCACCGGCCCCUGAACAAAGAGAACUGGGGCCCAAUGUGCCCGCUGUCCACCGGGCAUGGGGGACGGCUCUGUGACCCUUCUGGAAACGGAAGGGCAUCUGCCCAGUUCCCUGGCUUCUGACCGUCCACCAGCCCUGUACCGUCUUCCCCUGCAGAAGGUGCUCUCAAGUAUUCCUUCCAAGGCAGUCCUAGUGUCUUCUAGGGUCCCUCAGUCUUGAGUUCCAGCUUUCAUGAUCAGGCCCAGGCCUCGCCCUUUUCCCGGACCCCACGUUUACACA